rnacentral:pre_miRNA from 1 species
GUAACUAAAUAUAUAUAUGAAGUUGGAACGUUUGUCUAUGUUUGCCGCUACGGGCACUGUUGCAGCUGCAUACAAAUUUAAGUUA